rnacentral:rRNA from 1 species
CCUACGGGUGGCUGCAGUGGGGAAUAUUGGACAAUGGGGGCAACCCUGAUCCAGCCAUGCCGCGUGUGUGAAGAAGGCCCUCGGGUUGUAAAGCACUUUCAGUGAGGAAGAACGCCUGGUGGUUAAUACCCAUCAGGAAAGACAUCACUCACAGAAGAAGCACCGGCUAACUCCGUGCCAGCAGCCGCGGUAAUACGGAGGGUGCGAGCGUUAAUCGGAAUUACUGGGCGUAAAGCGCGCGUAGGUGGCUUGAUAAGCCGGUUGUGAAAGCCCCGGGCUCAACCUGGGAACGGCAUCCGGAACUGUCAAGCUAGAGUGCAGGAGAGGAAGGUAGAAUUCCCGGUGUAGCGGUGAAAUGCGUAGAGAUCGGGAGGAAUGCCAGUGGCGAAGGCGGCCUUCUGGACUGACACUGACACUGAGGUGCGAAAGCGUGGGUAGCAAACAGGAUUAGAUACCCCUGUAGUC